GGGGCCUGGUGUGCUGUGGACUGUUUGCACAAGGUUCUCUUUCUCUCAAUGAAUAUUGAAAACCUGAUCAGAAAUUUAGUCAACUGCUAAAGUAAUCAAAACAGCAUGGUACU